CAAACACACACACACACACAGAGAUCUCUCGAUCUCUCUUCUCCCUUCGCCGUUGAUCGUGGCUCUGGUGAAGUCGGAGUUGGCUCAGUCGUCUCUGGCGGUGCGCCGCUGAGCAAGGAUCACGUUCAGUCAUCUAGUUCGUCUUCGUCUUCGUCAGGUUUUUGGGACGAAAUCGGCCCGGGAAUAGGCACACCGUCUCCGGCGUUCUUCUCCGACGUCGCCUCGGAGUCCGAUUGCACCAAACUCAAAAAAAUUUCGCCGAUAUUU